rnacentral:rRNA from 1 species
UACGUAGGGUGCGAGCGUUAAUCGGAAUUACUGGGCGUAAAGCGUGCGCAGGCGGUUUUGUAAGCCAGAUGUGAAAUCCCCGGGCUUAACCUGGGAAUGGCAUUUGGGACUGCAAGGCUCGAGUGCGGCAGAGGAGACUGGAAUUCCUGGUGUAGCAGUGAAAUGCGUAGAUAUCAGGAGGAACACCGAUGGCGAAGGCAGGUCUCUGGGCUGACACUGACGCUCAUGCACGAAAGCGUGGGGAGCCAAACAGG